UAUAUAUAUAGGAGCCGCUUAAGGUUGGGACGCGACGCGGCGCACGCAGCAGCAGCGGCGGCGCUAGGGUGCCAUGGCAGCGUGCUCGCGCGCGCGCUCUAAUGCAAGCCCUUCAUCAUGUUUUGUUAGGCGGGCCCUCUCUUGUUCACCGGCGGCGCGCAUGCACAGGCCGCGUGCGCGCAAUAGGUCGGCGGCUGUCGCGGUUUGUAAAGGGGCCGGCCGGCGAAAAAUAAGGGAGGGCGCAGGGAGAGGGCGCGCGUGUUCGUCGUCUUGGUUUGCGGUUCUGCGUUUCGCUAGCCCUUCUCGAAGGGCUAGGGCGACAGGACAUCGGCGCGCACCCUUUCCCCCGGACGUUGAAAAGGAGCCACGCCGCCGGUCAGGUAGGUAUAUAUAUCGUUUACCUCUCCUCGACCAAGCCCACCUCCUUCCGCUUCGUCCCGCCUCCACCGCCACGGCCGCCGCCGCCGCCCCUCUCCCUCCUCCUCCUCCUAGCCCGGUUCCACCACCACCUGCCCAGGCCCUAUGCCCUCGACCACCUCCUGGCCCUCCGCAAGCCGUACAAGCGCCUCUCGUUCAAGGCCGUCGAGCUGCGGCUGCCCCUGCCGGCCGACAGGCACGCCCUCGACGUCGGGCGGCACCGGCUGUAGCCGCGGAGCGAGCCGGACGGGCGCGUCCCGAGGAGCGGGUUGCGGCUGGUGUAGAUGAGGCUCCGUUACUCGCUCAAGCGAGUACCAGUACCCUUGGUUCUCCCCCACUCGUCCCGUCUCAAGGUCCUCCAGGACAGGCUGUAAGAGGAACCGUACCGCCGGCCCGAGUUCUUCCUGGGCUAGCACUAUGACGCGUAGCUGCCGCUCCUGGAGUCCCUGAAGCACAGGUCGGGUUCCAUACUCGGCCGUCGGCGACGGUAGAAGAGUGUCCAACCCAGACCUCUACGGGGAGAGGCCGUUACGAACGAUCGGCGGCAGGUCGUCGAGCCGCAGCUGGUGCCGUACGGGGGUCGGCGACUGGGAACCCACCAUCUCUUGCACCAUCUCGGCCGUAACGUCGUCGAGAGGUGGCUACUCGAGCUCGUUGGCCGCAGGGCCCUGCAGAAGAAUCUCGUCGACUUCUUCGACGACCCGUCGCAGCGCCUCGUCGAAGUCCUCGCCGUGCAGUAGCAACGCGUGUGGCUCUUGUGGAAGCUGCCCUGGCCACAGUCCUCCGACGACCCUUUGUUCAAGCUCGACCUGUUCGACGACCUAAGACACACCUCCCUGCACGGCCGCCUCGAGUCCUUCUUCCGCGGGUUCCUGUUCCUCGUGGACGCUCAGCGUGAGCUAUUCUACCGGCUACGUCGUUCGAAUGGUGGGGUACCGAGACAACGAGUCCACCUGCGGCAGCACCUGCUCCGCGAGUUCCACCGCCUGCGGCCGCUGCCCUUCCACCAGCUUCUUCGCCUCAAGUUCUUCGACGACUGCCUCCACGAACCCCGGCACUACGACGCCGACUCGCCGCUUGGCUAGAAGAAGAGGUGGUCGUGGCAGCAGGUGCUCGGCGACAGGUCGAGCAGGCGGGACAACGGCAGCGGCCGCCACCGUAGUGGCGGCUCGCUCAUCGUUAUACGUGUACUUUCCAUUUAUCAUACCCUCACCCGUAUUCCGGAGAGGCAUUCGCCACGGACACCAACACGAAAAAUAGACUAGUGCUCGUAAGGACGCAACGAUACCAACUAACCUUGGACUGCCUUACGUCGCAACGUCAAGCAGUUCAUGAGACCAAUUACAUAUUCAAACCUUAUUCCGAUGGUUCGGUAUUUCUGUUUAACAGUUACCCUUUACAAUGACGCACGCUUACGUAACCAACCCUCUCUACGAUGCACGCUUUCGUAAUAGACACAAGACUACAUUCUUACCCUCUUCUUUGUAAGUCGAAAGUAAAGGUUAUUAUU
rnacentral:rRNA from 1 species